AUUAAAAACGCUGCUAUCUCUCCAAAAUUCCUCACAUAGAGCCGCUCAACAUCUCUCUCUCUCAAUAUUUUUUUUUAUCUCUCUCUCUAUUCACAAGAAAACACAUGCUAGUAUCAUCUCUCUCUCUCAAUCGAUCCAGCCACCAUCCCCCCCUUUUUCUUCUUCAACGGCGAGGAGCGCCACUUCCUGCUGCUCCGGCGACUCACGGCGAGGUCGCCGCCGACUGCUGCUGUUCAUGGAGUCGCGCCGACUGCUGCUGUUCAUGGAGUCGCGGCCUUCUGCUGUCACAAAUCUGCCGUCGUCGCAGCGAGACCGGCGAGCAGCACCAUCAUCCUCGCGUCCCUCUGACGCCGGCGUAAUCCUGCCAGCCGUCGCCGAGGAGUCCGCCGCCGUCUGGAGUUGCCGCCACCGUCGCCAGCUGGAGCCUCGGCAGCCGCUGCUGUCGUUCUCGGGCUCCGAUGAGGCCGUAGGAAGUUGCCGUUGUUGCGGCUCGACUGCGCAGGGCCGCGUUCAAUGUCUUUCUAAAACUAAAGAAUGAUGAAAACGUUUAAGUGUGGAAUGGGUAUGAGGAGGUUAUAUGCUUUCAAUCUGUGAAGGUGUUCGGUGUGAAUAUGCACACAUUUUUGUCAAAAAUGUGCAGAAUGGAGUCAAAAAGAAUACAGACAGGCGUGGAGAGUUGGAGUCAAAAGAUGCACAGUGUAGGCGUGGAGUUGGAGAGCGUGCUGUGCAUUUAUUUCCUUCACUUAUCUUAUCUUUCUUAUACAUAUGUAAAAAAAAUUGAGAGUAAUUGAUUUGAUCUGUGCGUAUCUAUGUUUAUUUGUAU